AAACAACUUCAUCACUGGCCUCCACAGCUGCGUGGCUCAUUGCUGAUUCGAGUUUCUGACCUGUAUCAUUUUUCUUCUCUAUGAAGAACUUUUUUCAACAUUUCUUACAAGGCAGGUCUACU